rnacentral:rRNA from 1 species
UACGUAUGUCGCAAGCGUUAUCCGGAAUUAUUGGGCAUAAAGGGCAUCUAGGCGGCCAGACAAGUCUGGGGUGAAAACUUGCGGCUCAACUGCAAGCCUGCCCUGGAAACUGUCUGGCUAGAGUGCUGGAGAGGUGGACGGAACUGCACGAGUAGAGGUGAAAUUCGUAGAUAUGUGCAGGAAUGCCGAUGAUGAAGAUAGUUCACUGGACGGCAACUGACGCUGAAGUGCGAAAGCUGGGGGAGCGAAC